AUCCCCCCAGCUGACCUUGGACCUGUCUGCGUUCAUCCCUUCCUAGUUCAGGUUGUCCCUCCCACUGGCAGCUCCAGGUAUGCCGAGGGAAACAGCAGUUCUUAUAUCCACAUUUGAUUGCAUGCAUCAUAUUGGAUGUGUGUGUCUACAUCGUAAAGUUACACACCAACAAGCUGUAUCCCUGCAAACAAGGAAUGCAUGUAAACUAGACAACUCAGAGAACGUGACAUCAUUUGGGGCCUCUGACUUUGUUAAGACCAGCUUAACUCGCUGGAAGUUUGCAUUUCCCAGAAUGGAAAUCUGGAACGGAAAAUGAAAAGAUGUUCCAAGGUUAUGCUGUAAAACCUCAGAAAGAUCUGGGCCAGUGGACAGACAGGUUUCCUGAUCUGACAGCUGCUCCUCUAUCUGCUGGGACCUGCCAUUUCAAAAUUAUCAUCUGCAGUUGAAUGCCUAAAGAGCAAGCUCACCAGGGAUCGUACAUCCUGGUGUGUUCACAGACGUGCCCUCAGCCUCUAGCACAGCACAGCACUAGACACAGGAAUUCCGAGUUGAAUGAAUGGACCAAACUGUUACGAUACUCAAGGAAACAGAGAACAUCCAAAGAGGCUUGGGAAAUAAAAAUAAUCAAAGAGACGCAUCAGCAAAUGAAAAAAGUGUCCAAGAUUAAGAGGGAAGAAGGUGCUUACUUUUUUUUGUUUUUUUUUUUGUUUGUUUAUUUGUUUGUUUCCUAACUUUCUCAAGUUAUUCUAGAUCUUAUUUUGUACUUCAGGGCUAUUUGAGUUUGUUUUAAAUAUAAAAAUCAGAAUCAGCAAAAGUCCAUCUCGACUGCUCACUUGGAUAGUUGCCAGUGUCUCUUCUGCCUCAAUUUCUUUACCUAUAAAAUGAAGNNNNNNNNNNNNNNNNNNNNNNNNNNNNNNNNNNNNNNNNNNNNNNNNNNNNNNNNNNNNNNNNNNNNNNNNNNNNNNNNNNNNNNNNNNNNNNNNNNNUGCCUCAAUUUCUUUACCUAUAAAAUGAAGAUAAUAAUUGUAUCUACAUCACAGAGUUAUUAAAAGUUAAGUAAACUGGAAACCAGGGAGCACGAUAUAAGUGUUAUCCAUCAAUAUAAUCAAACAUCCAUUCAUUCAUGUAUUAGAGAAAAGGAGAUGGAAGGAAGGGCAUAGGCCGCCGGCAGCAUGUACCUGCUUCCACUAAGCAGGGCUCAGCAAAUACUUUCUGCAAAGGGACAGAGAGUAAAUAUUUUAGGCUUUCCAGGACAUAUGGUCUCUGUCACACCUACUCAACUCUGCCACUGCAGCGUGAAAGCUGCCAGAGGCAAUACAUGAAUGAAAAAGCAUGGCCGCAUUCCAAUAAAACUUUAUUCAUGGACACUGAAACUUGAAUUUCAUACGGUUUUCUCCCACCGCACAGUAUUAUUCUCCUUAUGAUUUUUUUCCAGCCAGUUAAAAAAACGUAAAACACACUCUUAGCUUAAGGGACUAACGAAAGAGGCAAUAGCCGAGAUGUGGACUUUGGGUCCUCGUUUGCUUACCCCUGUACUAAGCACGAGGCAUACACACUUUGCCCAACUGCAUUUUAUAGUCAUCUGAACCAGCCACUGACGAUCAAAGUCCCUUGCCGUGGACGACAGACAUUUAAUCUCUUAUUUCCAACCUGCAGAGAGAAAGAGAGAUUUGAACCAAGAUUUGAUGAACUGUCCAACCUACUUAAUGAGAACAAGCUUCAGUUUAUCUAUGUUAGCGCUGGUGUUCCUCUUUAUAAAUCAAUUCUUAAAGUACACAUUUAUAACCAUAAACGUCAGGCCUCCACUCUGAGUUUCGGGCUCUUCAUUCUGUGGCCCACCACGCACUACAUCCAACAUGACAAAUUUAUUUCAUUACUCUGGUAGUUAGGAAUACUUCUAGCAGUGGGGGCGGUGGCGGGGGGGAAAAACCCUGGAACAGAUCUCUUUUCUGUACAAGCUUCCUCAUCUUAGAUCCUUUUUAUUAUCUUAUCAGAAACAUUUUUUUAGAAGUUUCCCUGUCAGUCCAGUGUUUAAGACUUUGUGCUUCCACUGAAGGGGACAUGACUUCGAUAGCUGGUCAAGGAACUGAGAUCCCACAAGCCGUACAACACAGCCAAAUUUUUUUUUUUUUUUUAAACUCAGAACAAGAGAAAUUACUUUAUAGUCUUUGAAACAAACACUUUGCAAAGCAAGAGAGACAGAACUGGUGAGUGAGUCCUCUGGUCUUGGUGGGAAGUCACAUUACCCAAUCUGAGUACCCAGCUCUCUACAUACAGUAUUCAGCUCAGUUCGGUCGCUCAGUCGUGUCCGACUCUGCGACCCCACGGACUGCAGCAAGCCAGGCCUCCCUGUCCAUCACCAACUCC
rnacentral:lncRNA from 1 species